GUCGGGUUCUGAACUACAAAUCCCACUUGCCUUUGCGAACAGAAUUUGAGAGGGGGAAAACAAGGUCAAAUGAACCACGGGGCGCUGUUUACAGUGGCUGAAGAUGGUUGAGCAUAGGACAUUAUGGAACUCCUACAGCAGAUACAGCCAAAUAAAAGAUACCCUCGGGAUCAAGCUGUUUGGAAAAACAACUAAACAUUUGAAUGGAUACUGCAAUCUCCGAGGAUCCACAGACUGAACAUCCAGUUCCACUCAGCUUUACUGGACACCAGAAAUCGUAAGUACAACAAACUCACGGGCCCCUGCCACCCACAAGAGGAUUCCUGCGCCUCCCAAAUCCUGACUCUGUCCCUGCCCCUCCCCCACCAUGCACCCGCCGCCAUUGACCAUGAGGACACGGCCGGAGACCCCACCGAUGUCGUCACAUCCGCCUCCGCCGGCCACAGAAUUUCCGGAACCGCUGCAGCAGUCACCACCUCCACGUCCAGGUUCAACACCCCACACGCUACCCUCACCGCAGCUGCUGCCGCCCACCCCGAUCCUCCA